GGUCUAGACAUGCAGUCGAACGCUUCUUUCCUCCCGAGUGCUUGCACUCAAUUGGAAAGAGGAGUGGCGGACGGGUGAGUAACACGUGGGUAACCUACCCAUCAGAGGGGGAUAACACUUGGAAACAGGUGCUAAUACCGCAUAACAGUUUAUGCCGCAUGGCAUAAGAGUGAAAGGCGCUUUCGGGUGUCGCUGAUGGAUGGACCCGCGGUGCAUUAGCUAGUUGGUGAGGUAACGGCUCACCAAGGCCACGAUGCAUAGCCGACCUGAGAGGGUGAUCGGCCACACUGGGACUGAGACACGGCCCAGACUCCUACGGGAGGCAGCAGUAGGGAAUCUUCGGCAAUGGACGAAAGUCUGACCGAGCAACGCCGCGUGAGUGAAGAAGGUUUUCGGAUCGUAAAACUCUGUUGUUAGAGAAGAACAAGGACGUUAGUAACUGAACGUCCCCUGACGGUAUCUAACCAGAAAGCCACGGCUAACUACGUGCCAGCAGCCGCGGUAAUACGUAGGUGGCAAGCGUUGUCCGGAUUUAUUGGGCGUAAAGCGAGCGCAGGCGGUUUCUUAAGUCUGAUGUGAAAGCCCCCGGCUCAACCGGGGAGGGUCAUUGGAAACUGGGAGACUUGAGUGCAGAAGAGGAGAGUGGAAUUCCAUGUGUAGCGGUGAAAUGCGUAGAUAUAUGGAGGAACACCAGUGGCGAAGGCGGCUCUCUGGUCUGUAACUGACGCUGAGCUCGAAAGCGUGGGGAGCAAACAGGAUUAGAUACCCUGGUAGUCCACGCCGUAAACGAUGAGUGCUAAGUGUUGGAGGGUUUCCGCCCUUCAGUGCUGCAGCAAACGCAUUAAGCACUCCGCCUGGGGAGUACGACCGCAAGGUUGAAACUCAAAGGAAUUGACGGGGGCCCGCACAAGCGGUGGAGCAUGUGUUUAAUUCGAAGCAACGCGAGA
rnacentral:rRNA from 1 species